UAAACAUCGACAGUCCACCACGCCCACUGUCCGCCCGGGGACUACGAGCACCAGCUUAAAACCCAAAGGACUUGGCGGUGCUUUAGAUCCACCUAGAGGAGCCUGUCCUAGAACCGAUAAUCCCCGUUAAACCUCACCCCUCCUUGUUUCUCCCGCUUAUAUACCACCGUCGCCAGCUUACCCUGUGAAGGCCUAAUAGUAAGCAAAAUCGGCACAACCCAAAACGUCAGGUCGAGGUGUAGCGUAUGGAGGGGGAAGAGAUGGGCUACAUUCACUAAUGCAGUGAACACGAAUGGUCACUCUGAAAUGAGUAUCUGAAGGAGGAUUUAGCAGUAAGCAAAAAACAGAGUGUUUUGCUGAAGUUGGC
rnacentral:rRNA from 1 species